rnacentral:tRNA from 1 species
GCCGGAAUAGCUCAACUGGUAGAGCAACUGACUUGUAAUCAGUAGGUUACGGGUUCGAUUCCUGUUUCCGGCACCA